rfam:Gossypium raimondii Chr07_contig_1371, whole genome shotgun sequence.
UGUUAAGAAAUUCAUCCAUUUCUUGUUAAAAACUGGCAUAGCUAACAUGAUAACCAAAUAGUGUCACGUGCACCACAUUCUAACGUACAAUGACCACUUUUUAAUAGUAGAAAUGGAUGAAAUUUUAAACA